rnacentral:misc_RNA from 1 species
GAACUGCGAUAAGUAAUGUGAAUUGCAGAAUUCAGUGAAUCAUCGAGUCUUUGAACGCACAUUGCGCCCCCUGGCAUUCCGGGGGGCAUGCCUGUCCGAGCGUCAUUGCUGCCCUUCAAGCCCGGCUUGUGUGUUGGGUCGUCGUCCCCUCCGGGGGACGGGCCCGAAAGGCACCGGCGGCACCGCGUCCGGUCCUCGAGCGUAUGGGGCUUUGUCACCCGCUCGAUAAGGACCGGCCGGGCGCCAGCCGGCGUCUCCAACCUUUUUUUCUCAGGUUGACCUCGGAUCAGGUAGGGAUACCCGCUGAACUUAAGC